AAGUUUUAAAAUAAAAUAAGUAUUUAAGAUAUAUUAUUUAUGCACAGUUUGUUUUUCAGGAUAUUAAACGUGAUAUUAAGAUGUGUUGAGUCUUUUCUUAAAACCCUUCCCAUCCUGUUAGAUUUUUUAAAUACAAUUAAACAAAAUUUACCCAUAGAAAUAUUAAUUAUCUUGACUAUUCCAUUGUAUACUUUUAAUGAUGAACUAGUACUCAUUUUUCAGUAAUACUUUAGGGAAAUACUAGUGUCAAUAUUUUUUUAUAAUUGCAGCCUGAAUUGUCAGGUUUUGCUUUAAGCUGUUAAUAAGCCAGGGUAGGUGAACAAUUAUAAUUUCCUUUUUCAAAGAGUAUUUGAAUGUUUAUAGUCACUUCUCAUGAAGACUCAGGUCGGUCAAAUUCUGGACUCUGACCUUAUCGUCUUCAUUAUUUUAAUUACUUUUGGAAUCAAAAGAAAAUCUCCAACAGACUCCCAUACAGUGAGUACCAUUUUAUUUCAUGUUAUUUGUAAAUUGUCAUACAGAAUUGAAUCUAUAAGCACAUUGGUAAGAGAUCAAACUUCCGUGGCAAUGUUCACCCUGAAAAUUUGCUUUCCUUUAAAGUAGAAGAUAUCAGGAUAAUGAUGCUAGCAUUAAAAAAGUAAAAACAACUACAUAAAAAGUUGUAUAGGUAACACUAAGACUUUUGUUUGCAAAGAGAUAAGUAUUUUAGCCUGACUUGUUUUAUAAAAAAUAUACUAGCAUAGAAAGAGCAAAAAUUUAAGUCCUUUUCUAGUAGCCAUUUAUAUAACAGUAGUCACUGUUAAUUUGGGAAAGAUCAUUUUCUGAUCACAAAACUUACUUGACAAAAUUUGCUAAACAAUCACACAAUUCUGGAACAGUCAUUUUCUUCAAAUAUUAUACUAUCAUUUUGUAUUCUCUUUGAAUAUGCCACAUGAUGCUUUGGUCUUUAUAUGCAAAGUACAAUUUUGGAUAAUUUUGGAUAUUUCAGUUCUAAGAAAAUGUCCUCUGAAAUAUAUAGAUUGUUGCCGCAAAUAUUUAAAUAUAUGCUUGUUUUCUAGAUUGCUCCCUAACAAAGUAUAGUAUCUACCACUUAAGGUGUGAAGAUGAAAUGAGAAAAUAUAUGUUAAAGAAUUUGUAACCUGUUGAGUAACCAUACAGUUAUCAUUGCCUUAACUCUGCCCUAGGUCUGUGUGUGCCUUUGGGCAUGCAGACAUAAACUUUAAGUCUUAAAAUUGAUGUGCUUCAUAGAAAAUAUUCUAUCUUCAUAAAAAAAGAGCCUAAUUGCUAAAUAAAUAGUAUAUAUCACAAAGAGUUUUCAUGUAUAGAGCGCCUUCCUUAUCUGGUUAGUGAUUACAUGCUUUAGAAUGAGGAUAAUACAUUUUUUUCCCAGUGGUAAUUUUUUCUAUGUAAACUGGACCAUUGAAAAUUGAUUUUUCUAUGUUGAUAUUUAAAUUAUUUGCCCAUUAGUCUGCUAAAUAUACCAGAGCAUUGUAGAGUGGACACACUGGGUUUGCAAAUAUUCUUUUAUAUCUCCAACUUGGGCUUUUGACUGUUAAAAUACCGAAAGGUUUAUUUACUAAACAGGAAUUCAUGGGAGAAUAUGCAUGUGUGUCAAGCUUUUAAUAAUUAUGUUGAUUACUGAUAGGCUCUUGAAUCAACUGCUUCAAUCUGAAAAAUAUUGGAAGGUAAGAAGAUUAAUCUUUGCAAAUAAGAUAAUAUGCAGGCAGGCAGAACUUGAUUGGAGAAAAAGGUCAGUAGCCAUCUGUUCCUCAGUCUUAUUUAGAAGAGCAGAAGGUGUGGUAUGUCAUGCCCAAGCUGUUUUCAAAUGCAUGAUGACAAAAAAUGUGAAAUCAUUUGGAAGGGGAAUUUUUUGAAAUUUCACCUUGAAACAAAUUGCUUCCUAAGAUAAACAAAAUAGUAUAUUUAGUUUCUGCUAAGAAUUUUUUUCUACAGAAUUUGAAGUUCCACAGCUCGCUGAUCUAGACGGGUGUACCCUAGACUUAGUCUUGUGAAACAAAUUAUAGCAAACACAAAUAUUAGAGAAUAGAGGUAUGAUUUUUGUACAGUAAACAUUAGACAGAUUUGCCAAUGAUUGGCUGGUUUCUCACAUAGAAAGUUUAUCUACCUGUUCUUUAAAUGGGCUAAUAAUUUCUUAUUUCUUCUUCUUAUUACUACUCUGGGUAUUCAUGCAUCUUUCCAGAGUUUUUGUGAGGACCCGUGUGGGCCAUACUUUCGAGCUCUGAUGUCACAGGCAACCUGACUAAAGAUUCUAAGUGGGAGUGGGCUUUAAAGCAAUAAGACAUGUAAACAUCACAAUUCUUUUUAGCUGCAUCCACUCUUGUUGGUAUUCCCACGGCCGAUCUCAAUUUUCUCUUUUCAUAACAACUCAGUAAGGGGUUUUACCAGAGCAGACAAGCAUGAAAUUAAUUUUCCAUAGAAGUUUACUGAUGCUGGAAAACUUGCUGGUCAGUAAUAUUGGUAUAAGUUCUGAGGCUGGCUUGGCUGUUUCAUUUUCUCCCUUUAAUUGUAGUGAAUUUUAUCAGCAUCAUUUCUGUAAAGUAUAUCAUAUGCAAAAGCUUUAAGGGAAGGCGUACAGAGGUUUUUUUCAUAUUUAAUCUCUUAAAUUUUUAGCAAGAUUUAUAGUAGCACAGCACUCUGUUCUUUUUUUUUGUUAAGAGCAAGAUGACUUAACGAUUUGUCUUGGCGCUUGCUGCAUCACACACAGAAUUUUGGAAGAAAGAAGAUGCCCCAAUGCUGCAGAGAGUAACUAAAGAGCUGAGACUCUUCUUAUGCUUCAGCAGUGACAAGAUUCUUUUUUAGAACUAGCAAAACCUGGAUAUGUUAACUCUAACUUGGAUAAUUUCUUUCCCUACGUUGUUAAGCCUAAAACACUUCUGGUAUCUUGGCAACCUAAUGUAUCUCUGUUGUCCUGUAGUUGUUGCUGCAAAUUCUUUAGGAAUGAUAUACUACCUAUUUUAAGGAUAUAGAUUUUUGAUUCAUAGGAAGGAAUGGUCAUCCUUAAUUUUUUGCAUCUAAAAUUUUUGAGUUAUUAACUCCUCUCUAUUCUAAGAGGAACUUGUGAAGCGUUCCACGCUCUGGGGUAUUGUGCUGAGGCAAGUUUGCUAUUCAGCAGACCUGGUGUGGGUAGAAACUUGUAGAGACUGAUCAUCUGGACUGCUCUUGCGCUGCUUUGCUCUUCCGGUGACCUACCUUAUACAACCUCUGCCAAAUGCAUCACUUUCUUGUCUUGAAAGGCUGAGCUUGGUUCUCCCCUUUGCACCAGGCGUAUCACUGGGGAUGUGAGCUCCUGCUGAGUUUCUCACUCCCUGCUGAUAACAGUUAAGGGGAAAAAAAAUCCUCCCUUAGUUUCUGAGACUAAUGUGUGUUUUGUAAAUGGUGUUGCUGUGUAUCUUCUAGAGAGUGAAGGUUUCACAGAUGUAGUGAAUCUCCUACUUGUCCACUCUUCGAGAGAGGUAAAUGGGGUGUAUUAUCUGAUAUUUUGUUGUUGUUGUUAUUUACAGGCAUUUGGUCACUGAGAGACUGAAUGUGUAAGAAACAGGUAAAUUCUGUGAAAAGGUUGUGACAAGUGGAAGAUGAGGUGAGAGGAGAAUGCUUCCUGACCUCCAACCUCCCAGGCCUACCCUACCCAAGGGCUGGAACAGAACUGUACCUUUUAACAAAUGUUUAUGGAACAUUUAUUAGGUGUGAGGCAAAGUAUUAAGUUAAAGGGCUGCUGUACAAAACGAGAACAAUAACCCAAUAAUAAUGACAACAAUAGGCUGUCGUCCUUAUUCUCAAGGAGCUCCUGGACACACUCAUAAAAAUGUGCAGAGGUGUUUAAACCCAAAAUAUAAGACAAUAACAAGUUAUACUAAUAGGUAGCCAUUUAUUGAAUGCUUCCUACGUAUUAGUUCAUUACAUGCUGACAGCUAUUCAUGAGAUAGGAUGGGGUUCAGGGAGAUUGAGUAACUUGCCCAGCUCUUAGCAGAAGAGCUGGUUUUGAACCAAGCAUCAGUGCACUUAAUUAUUAUAGUAUAGCCCCUCCUCCUCCCUGUAUGAUGCAGAACAGAAGCUCUUAUGUGUUCUUAAACAACAGGCAUUGAUUAAUUCUGUCUGACUGAGGUGUAGGAAUGGAUUCACAGUGGACUGAGCAGAGUUUUGAAGAGUGAAUUUAGUUUCCCCAAGAAAAUAAGAAGAAUAAAGGUGGAGCAGUGGUGGUGGUGGCAUCUUCCAGGCAGAGAAGUCAAGGAAGGAUUAAAAAAAGAAGAAAAUGAAGUUUAGCUUUUCAAUAUCACAAACUUUAAGGGCAGGAAGAAGCAGGCGAUGAAGUUGGAGAGGGAAUUCUGAAGGGUCUUGUAAGCAACGUGAGAAGAUUAGAAUGCGGAUUACGGGAAGAGCAUCGCUUGGAAGUGGAAUCAAGAAAACAGAAUAGACCUGAAGUAUGUCUAUCAGGAACUCAAUCUGAGAAUUGGCCACACUGAUAAUGUAGGCAUUGAAAGCCAAACAAGGCAUAGUGGGUAAUACAGAUAUUAAUCACAGCAGGAAGCCGUAGUCCCCUAGGUCAGAGGCACAAAGGAAGGCAGUGGUGUUACUGGACCCCAGGACCAAUAAGUAUUGCUGGAAGCUUGAUCCAUUUAAGCCUGACCUAUUGGGGGUGGGGGAAUGAAACUGUUGCCAGAGAUGCUGCUGAGUCAUUAGGGCAGGAGGUUGCGGGAGAGAAAGAGUCCUCCAUUCUCUGUCAGUGUCUCCCAAUGAACAAACAGUAGAAGCCUGGGAAAUGCUCCUAAGGAAUCAGCCCUCAUCUACUAUCACACAGAUCAAGCAGGGAAGUGAAGGCAAGAAUCUGAGGGGGCAUAAGACCUAGGACCAGCAAGGUAGGCAGGGUUUCACUGUAGGAUUGCAAUAUGUUACACAUGCGAUUGACUACAGUUUGGAUUAUAGAUGUAGGAACAGAGAAUAGUGGAGUUGCAGAGGUCAUUUGGAAUACUGUUGCAUUUGGCAGGGAUGAAUAAGGACUAGAAUUAAAUCAGGGUCUGGUGGAAUGGAUCAAUCACUCUCCUUAUGACUUCAUUGUAGGGAAAGAUUUCAUAAACAAGACAUAAAACUCACUAACCAUAAAUUAAAAGAUCAUAAACAUAAUUAUAUUAAAAUUGAACAUUCCAUUUAUCAAAAGACAAUGUAAAAAACUACAACUCCAAAUUAUGACUUGGGAGAAGAUAUUUGCCACACAUAUAACCAAUGAAUCAUUAAUUUUGAGAAUAACAUUGCUACAAAUCAAUAAAAAAAGGAAAAACAACCAAAUAGAAAAUGGGCAAAAAGCAUGAAUUUGCAUUUCACGGAAGAGAAAACCCAAAUGGCUAAUAAACAUAUAAAAAAAUGCCCAAGAUCAGUAACAGAGAAAUGCAAAUUAAAACCACACUGUGAUAAAAUUCCCACUAACCAGAUUGGCAAAAUUGAAAAAAUCAGAUGAGACCAAGUGCAGGGAGGAUACUGAGCACUAGGAACUCUUCCUUACUGCUUCUGGGAGGGUACAUGGGCAUCGCCACUUAGGAAAGCAUUGUGGUGUUAUCCUGUGCACGCCCAAAAGAUAUUCCUGUAUAUGUGCAAUAAUAUAGCUGUAAAAUAGUGGCCAUUGUUUGUAAUAGUAAAAGUAAAAGCAGUAAUAUAAUAAAACAAUAAAAAGCUACUAAAAACCUAUUCUUAGGCAAAUAAAUAUAUCACGUCAUACUCAUACAAUGUAAUUAUAUACAACAGGGAAAAUGAAUGUUCAUCUGCAAACAUGGUUGAAUCUUGAAAAUAUGAAGUUGAAUAAAUAUAUUAAUCAUAGAAGUAUGUAUACAAUAUGUUACCAUCUGUAAACUCCAAAAUAUAUAAAAUUAAUGAUAUAUUGUAUAUACACAUACACAUUUGUAUGUAUGUAUAUAUAACUAUAUAUUUGAAUAUAUAUAUAUAUAUUCAAAGCCUGUGGGAAUGGACGUAGGAGGGAGUUCAAAAAUUUCUGUUUCUUAAGGUGCAUGCAUGGAGGAAACAUAGAUAUUUGUUAUAAGAUUGUUCCUUAUUCUUUUGCAUUUGUGACAAUAUUUCAUAACAAAAGCAAGUUUAAAAAAUAAAGAAGGGUUAAAACAGGAGAUACAAUACAAUCCAUGUCAUAGAAGGCCUGGAAUGAGAGGAGACUUGAUCUUUGGGUGUUCCAUGUUGACAGAGUGUAGCUUUCUAGUCUAUAAGAAAGUAUAUUUUCCCUCCAUUGAAUCAUAAACUCCCUAAUUAAAAUAUAAGCUUCUUAAGGAGAGGUAUUAUGCCUUUUACCUUUGCAUGUCCCCUUGUGCUAGCAAAGCUCUAGUGUAUGUGUGUGGAUUAGAAUGAUCGCGGUGCUGAAGAGAAAUUAAUUAGCUCCUCUCCUGUCUGCCUCUGUUCUCAGUCUGUGAUUGGGUGAAAAAUAUCUCCCUAAUGGUCAGGAGGAACAUAGGCGGAUUGGACUGGAUCUCAUUCUAGCUUUGUCAUUAAUCAGAUACAUAACCUUAAAUAAUUUACUGGCUUCUUUGGAUAACCAGUUUCCUCAAUUGCUGAAUGAAGGGAUUGGACCAGAAGUUCCCUUUCAGCUUUAAGAUUCUAAGGUCGAUGAUGUCACUGCAGAGAUGGAUUCAUCACCUGCAGCCCUUUCCACUUUCAUGCUCAUAAAUAGCUAUUUCUAUGCCUGAAAUUCCUACUCACAACUUGUCUUUUUUGCAUAAUUGAUAGCAGAGUUUUUAUUCAUCGUGAAACAUCUUAUUUCUGAUUCUGUGCAUCAAAAUGAUGGUCUGCUGCAAGUGCUCAGCGGUCGACCUGAAUGUUUUCAGGAUUUCGUAUGUUCUUGAAGUGCUUCAUCUACCUUCUUGGUAUUGUACAUAGAAAAUAGAGAACACGUAGUCCUUGCUGAAAAGUCUAGGGCACUUGAUUUUGGUUGGCGUUUAAGCGUUGACUUUUAAACCACAUCAUCAGUUAGCAAAUUUAUUUUUAAAUGCAUUUUAUUGAAAUCUGGCAGAAAUAACCUACAAAUCCAGUUCAUCUUCUGUUUGAUGCCAAAAGGCAGAAUGAUCCAACAACUAUACUUUUAUGAAUUCACAUUGGUAUUCAUUUCUUGAUAACACCAACCAUAAUUUUUACUGUACCUAUUUUAGGGACAUGAGUUUGACAUCUAUAAUUGUUGCUAUAAGUCAUGAGGAUAAGCUUCCUCUUGCAAAAAUAAAUUUCUUCUUUCAGCAUAUUUAUUUUCAGAAAUAUUCUAAUUAAAUGGUGAAAUAUAUGGUCCUAAUGGGGAUAUCAGCAGCAUCAGUGUUACAAAUGGGACAUCCUUAGCGCCAAAUACAGUUGAAUUCAGGAGACUGUGCUUGGGACGCUGUUGCCCUUGCUUCUUGCUGUGGGGUGUCUGGUUGACCUCUCUCACAUUUGGGACUGCUAGUCUUCCAGUCUUGUCCAUCUCUUUUGUUAAGCUUAGGGAUUCUGUUCUCCAUUGUCUUCAUUUUAAUCUUUACUCUUUAUUUGGAAAUCAGUGAAACUAUGUUCAGUUCUUAGUUUCUGAACACUGAGUUCCUUUUAUGUGUGUGGGUGUGGUUCUGGAAGAUUGGGUCCAGCUUUCAGAUUGGCAUCAGUUUUCAGGCAUGCAUCCUCACAUUAUCUGUUUUGCUUACGUGAUCCCAACAUGGUAAUUCUUGGUGAAGAAAUAUCCUCUAUUGAUAGUAUCUCUGUCUAUAGUAUUGAUAGAAUAUUGAUAGAAAUAUUCUCUAUUGAUAGUAUUUCUAUAGUACAAAUAAAUAGUUUCAUUUUGUUUUUACAAAACACAUACAGAACAACCUGCCAUUACUUUUAGGGCAGUGCACAUCCAUUAAAAAAUGACCAGAGGUUUACAUGUCUAAGACUCCAUAUUGUUUCCAAAAAAGCUGUUGUGAUUAAGAUCUAUGAAUUCAUUCGUUCAUUCCACAAAUUUGCAGUUAAUAUUAACCUCAUAUCAGCCAUUAUGGGCGUUGAAAACCGGGAGUAGGAAUGGACAAGUUGCCAAAACUAUUCUCAGGUUAGUCCAGGAGUCAGAUAUAAGAUGCAUUCUUCUCUGAAAGUGUCCUUAGCAGUCACGACUUCUACUCCAAAGUAAGUACACAAAAACCGUGAGGAACAUCGCUCCCACAGGACGAUUUUCUAAAAGAAAAAUAUUGAGGAGAAGUCAAGUUAAUCCACCAGGACAGAUUCUCUAAUUGUUUGAACUGGGUUCUAGAAAAGUGACAAUAGAAGUGAGAGCUUUGAAAAUGAAGAUGUGGGAAUGCUAGCAUGCCAGAUGGUAGUGUUCAAAUCCAUGGCUUUUGUUCCUCUGAGUAACUAGAGAAGAGUGAGGUACAAAACCACACUUUAAAUGAGGAAUUUGCAUUUUAUUUCUGAAAUUUUCAAGAUUGUGGAUUGCUUUAAACCCAGAUGGUUGCAAGAAUAAAGAAUAUGAAUUCUGAAGUCAUAUUACCUGGGCUCACACCUUGGCUCCAUGACCUAGAGCAAAGUAUGUUACUUCUGUCUUAGUUCCUUUAAAGAGGAGUAACGUUAGUGCUUAUCUCAUAGGGUUUUUGUGGUAGAAAAUGAGAUAAUGCAUGUAAAGCACUUAAUUCAGUGUCUACAGUGUCAAGGAUAGAGUGAACAUGCACCAAGUGUUCGUAAUUACUAUUUCCCAUAACAUACUUUAAUUGCAGUCAAUUAAAACAUACAGUCUUAGACUUGGAAGAGAUCCAUUGCAGAAAUUCUCUCCACUAUAUUUUUGAGAAAUGGUUAUAGAGCAAUAGGUCGCUUACUGCUCCAUAAGCAUCCUAUUUCCUUUUGAAUAGCUGUAAUCAUUAGAAAAUUCUUUCUUGUCAAGUCAACAUUUGUGAUCUCUAACCUCUACCUAUUGUUUCUGCUUCAUGGAACUCCAUAUAACAUUUGAGCUUUCUUCUACAUGGCAGGCUUUCAAAUAAGUAUUUAAAGAUAGAUAUCUCAUUUUCCAUAUGUUUUCUCAUGUCUAGGAUAAAUCUUCUAAAUUAUUGUGCUUAUGUUCUAAUCCUCCAUUUAUUCGAGGACAUUGUUGGCUGGCUUACUACAGAUUCAUUCUCAACUCUCUUCUCCCUUACCUGCUUCCGAAAUAAAGUGUGAAUAGCAACUAAGGGUAGCCAUGAGACUCAGUUCAGGCAAAUGAGAUGUAAGGAGAACUCAGCUGGAGACUUUCUGGAAAAGCAUUUAGUUUCCUAGUAAAAGUGACCUUCCCAACCAGCAUUGUCCCAUCUCCUUUUAUCUCCUUCCUUCCUGUUUUGAGUAGAAACAUGAUUACUGGAGCUACAGCAGCCAUAUUGCAACCUUGAGAUGAUGAGUUCAAGGGCGAAAAGUCAGCAAGCUAAGCCCACAGAGGUGAAAUAAUCAAAAAGAGCUUAGGGCUUGCUGAGUAUGUUCAGCAGCUGAACCAGUGCUUGCAACCAAUUAUCCUAAUCUUUUUGUAAAUCAGAUAAUAACUGUUAUAUCAUGAAGCCAGUGAUUAUCAAACUUUAGCAUGCAUCAGAAUCACUUGUAGGGCUUGUUGAAAUACAGAUUGCCAGGCUCUAACUUUAGUUUCUGAUUAUGUAGAUCUGGAAAGGGGCUUGAGAAUUUGCAUUUCUAACAAGUUGCCAGGUGAUGCUUAUGUGGUGGUAGUGGUGGUGGUGGUAGUGCAUUUUGAGAUCUCCUGGUUUAAACCAUUGUUAAUCUGAUUUUCUUUUCUUUGCAUUUUAUGACUUUAUUUAAUUAAUAUGAGCAGAAAUCACUAUUUGAUUUUGAAUUGCUCUCUUAAAGUGUUUCACCAACAUUUAAAAAAAGGAUUUCUAAAACUCUUCUCCACUGUAGAGAGUUCCUUUAUUAGACUCUCCAUAACAGCUAGCAUAGUUAUCUGAGUUGCUCCUUAGCAAUUCAAUCAUCAGUCUAUGGGAUAUUUAGUGUGAUGGAAUAAAUGAAAAGCAAUAAAACUAAUAAGGAAAGCAAAUAUGUUGAGGUAUAUGAGGAAGCCAUUUUGGUUUGAAACUGAUUCCACCUGAACCUCGUUUUCCAGAAUGGCCUGACAUGGCCUGUCAAGCCUGCAUUGUUCAUCUGCUUUAAAUAUUAGACAGUAUUCCAAAGCAAAGAAUGUUGCCUUUAAAGAUUAGGAUGAAUGCCUGCCUCCCAUAUCAAUAUUUCUUUGAAGAUAAGCAUUCUUCCCAAGAAACCAGGGCCAGUGUGCUGUGUAUGCAUCUUGUGACUAUAACAAAAAAAAAAAAAAAGAAGAAAGAACAAAGGUAUACCUGUCAUUUUUGAUGAAUGUUCUUUGUUCCUAAAUAGUAUAUAACGAUGCCGUACACCUCACAUCUCCAGAGUGCUUUCUCCCAUGGUGGAGAUCAUGCUUCUGGGCCAAAGUCCUCAGAUUGGCUCCUAUAAUAAACUCACUUCAUUUUUAUUCUAUAAAUUGACUAUUGGUUAUGUGUAUCAAUAAGUGAAAUUUUAUUACAUGCAGAUCAUUGUGAGAAUUUAAGGAAGGGUGAGAUAUUGCUACUGUCCCCAAGGAGUUUACAAUCUAGAUAGGAGGUGGCACACAAAGUAUGAGAAAGACUACUUUCCAUCUUUAUCAGAUAUCACCAUUUCCAAAGAGUUUUCAGUUAUAUUAGCAUAAUCAAUACUUAAGAUAAUGUGAAGUGGACACAUUAUCACCCAUUUUACAGAAAAAUCAAGAUCCAGCUGGUUAAUUAAUAAAUCUAAAGAGGCCAAAUUAAUACAUAACAAAAUCAAAUCUAGGAAUUUUAACUCCUUACUCAAUGCACAACAUAUCAGACAAAUGCUUGUAAUUGAUAUUUAUCUUUUCCCUCUCCUCCAUUUUCAGGGCAAUAUAAAAAUAAAAUUAGCUUUACUGUUUUAUACUACUUGGUGGUCAUAAAUUGCCUCUCAACAAGCCUGAAUGACAACCGGCUAUUAGAGAGUUAUCUCUAAGAACUUCUUAAAAGUAGCUUUUCAACUGAUAAGAGAUGUUCAGAACUGCUGUGUUCCAUUGUAAAUGUGCCCAAAGGUGGCCAGCUUAGGCGACAAGUGGAGACUGAAAUCCCAGACGUGUGCCCUGGCAUGGGACUACCUCCAUUGAAAAGGAGGAUGACACUUUUCGUCAACUGCAGGGUAGACAGAGUGAGACCCCAUUGGUUACUCACCUCCCACAGUGCCAUGAAAAUAUCACAGCUUUGCCCUGGAGCCAGAUGACUUUCUGGAAGGAGUGUGGAACAGGGAGCUAUUUUGAGGGGGAAAUCAACCUUAAAGAAAAUUUGAACUUCGAGUUGACAGAAUAUUUACUCAAAAGAGGUUAUUUGAAACUAUAACAGAGUAGUUAACGUUAAUUUUAAGUUUAAAUCUUCCAUUCUCUGCUCUUCUGCCCAGCUUUCCCCACAUUCCAUCAGCAGAGAUGGGGGCUCAUCAGGAAGUUGCUGGAUUUUAGAGAAGCAGAUAAGCUAUUUUUUUGUGUUUGUUUUUACACAUCUUAAUCGUGGGGUAUGAAUUUCAACUUCAACACAUACGUAGAAUUUGCCAUUUCUUCCAAAAGGUAAGAAUUAGGAUUCUUACCUAUUAGAAUUACCUAUUAGGAUUCUAAUAGGAAUUUACUCAUGAUACCAUACAACAUGUACAAAGUGAAGUGUAAGUCCCUACCAUAGAAUUGCUUACAGUCUAAAAUGGAGAAAACUAAUAUUGAUAUAAACAUUUCUGAAUAUAAGUAAAGCAAUUCUGAAUUCGUUACACAGUUAGUGAAUAUUGUUCAUUUUCACAAUUAAAUUGUAUGCAAUCUUUUCCUUAACUAUCUUUCUCUAUUUUAAACAUUUUAAAAUUCAUGAGAUAUAGCAAUAAAUACAAUAAAAACUUUCCAGCUUUACAGAAUUUUAGUUAGUAUACAAAAAUAAAUGUGGGCUGAAAACUCUACAGAGAAAGAGAUUUAAAGAGAACAAAUUGCCCUUUUUUGGUACGUUAUUUCAGAAAAAAAACUUGUAAACGUAAUUUCUGUUCAGGACUAGAAUUCUAGUUGAAGUAGGCUAUAGCCUAUACAGUAAAAUUUGCAUGGCAAUAUUUUUUGCCUUCUUGAUUAUUGAAAUUGAACCAUUAGUGAUUCAUUUUCUAGGUGCAGGCAUUGUGGUCUUUCUGUAGGCCUUUUAAAAUGCAAAUGCACAUGGAAGAGUACAACCAAAUUAAGUUCUUUAUAAUUUAGAGUGGUUGCAAAUAUCAGAUGGCUUUUUUUCUCAACGUAGCAAUGAAAGUGCUUGUAGGUGUUUGGAGUGAAAUAUACAGAGUUAGACACUGAAAAUUGGAGGGGGAAGGCAAAUUUUCAGAAGUAAGUAGAGAGACAUGCUAAAAACCAGAACCUUGGGGCUGGCUCUGUGGCCUAGUGGGUAAGUUUCGUCCACUCCUGCCUUGGUGGUGCAGAUUCAGUUCCCUGGUGGGGACAUUCACCAUUUGUUGGCAGCCAUGCUGUGGUGGCAGCCCACAUACAAAAUAGAUGAGGAUUGGCACAAAUGUUAGCCGAGGGCAAAUCUUCCUCAGAAAAACAAACAAACAAACAGACAAAAAAGACACAGCACCCUGACCACAUCAUCUCGUGAACUCAGCAAUAGAAGAGCACAUCCCUACAGGAUGUUUGGCAUGUGGCAAAUCUGUCAGACCCUUGAAACUUGUAGUCCUCCAUUGUCCCUUUGCUUCAAAUUUACAGAUGACAGGGGGAAAGAGAAGGAGGGAGUGGGUGUUUGCUCAAAAAUCCCAGGAGAUAUUUGGGGUCAAUGUUUUCUGUUGACAUUUUCUUGGCCAAAACUAAUCAUAAAGCUUCAUGUAGAUGUGAGGGGGUUGGGAAAAGCAGUUUUUCCACGCUCCCAGGAGGGAAAGCAGAUGGUUUGGUGAACAUACAGCGUUUUUCUGCCACCAUUAGCUUUCAAAAUUUUUAAUAGGAAUAAUCAACUUAAAGGCAAAAAACUCUGAACAUGUAAAUCAACUCUAUUGUUAACAUCUAGUGACUACAUACUAUAUGUUACCCUGUGUUGUCUACUCUAAAAGAAUACAAUUAAGUACAGUAAGUUUAUUAGGAACUGUUUCAUCUGGUGUGAUCAGGAUCAGCAGGUCAGUAAAAGUCAGUUAAAACAGGGAAUAGAUGAAUUAAACAUUUCUGUUUUUGACAAUACAAAUGAAUGAAUAUUCAUUCACUGAUUUUUUAAUGUAGGGCAGAGACCUUCCUUUCAGUAGGAGUGUCAUUGUCAUCUAUCUUGCCUAACCCAUGAAGCAAACAGUAUUGGUUUCCUGUCUAACAGCUACUCCCCUCUUCCAAGCUGCCUAGAUCUUUUCUUUUUUCCCCUGGUGUCCGCCCAUUUCCCAAAUGAAUUAGGUGAUUCUCUACUUGUCAGCUAAAAGUGUUAGGUAUAUAACCUGCUCCUGGCCAAUAAGACACAAAAGAAACCUAAGGAGCUUCUUUGAAAGAUACCUUUGCUCUUAAAAGGCAUUGCACAGGGGACCCAAGGGGCUCUUUUCAGCCUUUGGCUAUUGAUUUAUGAGUAUGGGAUACCUUGAGCUGCUGAAGCCAUUUUGAUUCCUUGAAGGAAGGUUGCCAAUAAACUAUAAAUGGUUGGAUAGAGAGGUGGAAAUGACAUAGGAUGGCUUGACUAUGUUGCUGUAUUAACCCUGGAGUUGUUCUGCCUCAGGACUUGUGGCUAACUGGAAUGAUGAUUCCAUCAUUCUUUUGUCUUUCAAGUAGAAUUUCUAUUAUUUAAAUCCAAAAGUAUCUGAAUUAAAGCACCACAAUUUCUGGUUUGAGUUUCUUUAAGUUUGCAAUGAGACAUUAAAGACGUUUAUGAAGAUGUUCCCUGUGAACAAUCUUUCUAGAUUGUUGUGAUUUUUCCAGUCUUUACAGCUGUCUCAUUGACAACUAAUCCAAGAGCAGGUUUGUUUGCUGUUUGUUUGUUUCUUUCUAAGCAACUCAUUUUUUUUGGAAAUUUGCAAACCAUUAAAUUUAAUUUUCAUAGAGGCAACUUCUUUUUCACACUCAUAUUUCAUUAGUUUAUGUGAUUUUUUAAACUAAAAUGCACAACUACAAUAAUUAAGCGCAACAAAAUUGGCUAAAUCCUAGUAAACAUUCAGCACUACUGGUGAGAACAGCCUUUGCAGGCACACUAAAAAGUAGCCACAGCUUGCUGGGAACUUUCAGAGAGAGGCGGCAUCUGACAGGAUUGAAAGAUUGAAGGCUAUUAAUUAAUCUAUCAAUCUCACUGAAUAGAUGGUGAUCAGUUAAGACCUAAUAUAUAAAGUUAAGUAAUAUACAAUUGCCAAUUUUAUAUCUCAAAAAUGUUCAAAUAUUGACAAUUUCAUAUAGUUCAACCUGAAAAAUAUACAACAUAGACUUCAGUCUCCAGGAGUUUAAUAUCCAAUUAGGGAGCUAAGAUACACCUAUGAAAAAAAAAUCACCAGUUCAAGUCAGCGUAUAUGUUGGUGUUCCACUGAUAUUCUCUCUGUUCCCUUUUUACCACUUGAAUGUUUUCACUUUCAACAGCCAAUGUCUGCGGAUCACUUUCAGAGGACUACUCUUGGGCUACUGGAGCCAUUUUGCCCACCCAUGCAGAGAGCUGGAAGUGCCUGAAAAUGUACAUCCUCCUGGGAAGCUUCAACCAGUGUGGAGUGAAGGGUGUGGGAAUAGGAAAGCCCAGCUCCUUGUCCGGGGCUCCCCUGCAGGAUGAGGCUGAAGCCAACCUCUGUGGGACUUUUCCUGACAUCAUACACUCCACUCGCUUCCUCCUCUUUUCUUUCCUGCUUAUCCCACUCUAUUACUGGUUUCUCCUGGAGAAUUCCCGUAGUAAAACACUUGCACACCAGUUCUCUACUCAAGGUGUCCUCCUGGGGAACCUGCUAUAGGACAUUAAGGAAUGGUAGGUGUAGACUGAAUGGUAUAGAUAACAUGUGUUAGAGAAUUUCAGAGAUGGGAGCUACCACUGCCAACUUUGGCGAUUCAGGAAGGCUUCAGAAUAUAUCCCAAACUGUGAAUUUCAUAGAUAUUUAUCUAAUCAAUAAAUAGUAAUGGAGUGACUACUAUGUUUCAAUUAACAGUGAUAGCAAUGGAGGGACUUGCUAGGCAAGUGGUUCUCAAAUUGCCAUCUCUGGAUCAGCAGCAUCAACAUCACCUGGGAAUUUGUUAGAAAUGCUAAUUCUCAGGCUCCGCCCCAGACCACCUUUUUCAGAAACUCUGUCUGAGGCCCAGUAGUCCAUGUUUUCACCAUCCCUUGCACACUCACUUUACCAGGCAAAUAUUUGGUUUCACCCCUUGCCCUGCUGAUCUUUAACUGUGAGCUCAGACAACUUAAUUACUUCUUUGAUGUUUAAUUUCCUUGUAUGAGACUUAGGGGUGAUGGCACCUGCCUUUUGAGGGCCAAAAAAGUGUUAUUUUUCUGCCUUUGUUUCUCUCCACGUUGUUAGUUUUUCCUCCUAUUUUCCUUCUCUCUUUCUCUUCUUCUCUACCUUUUCCUCCUCCCCUCCCCUCCUUCCUUUCUUUAUUUCCUUCCUACCUGCCAUGCUUUUAACUUGGUCAUGAAAGAUGAAUUGAAUUUUACUAGGUGGAGAAAGAAGACUAAACAUCCCAGGCAGCAGGAAUAGCUUUCAAAGGCACACAUGAGUCACAGUGUGGGGACCAUUUGGCUCCAGGGAAGUCAUGGAUGAAAGGACAGAAGUGGCAGGGUGUGAUGCAGAUGCUGAGCUGUGGUUGUAACUAUAUUCUAAAGGCAAUGGUGAGAUGUGAUAUGGAGGACUGGGAGUAACAUGGUGAAAAGCAUCAUUUGGGCAGAUUUAUCUCACACUGAUCUACCUUAAUUAGAAGAAGAUCAAGAUUUCAGGCUGGGAAUUCAGUUAGAAAAGACUUAUAAAGUAAUCCAGGCAAGAGCCUGAAUCAAGGCACUGGUAUUCUAACGAUGAGGGAGAAGUAGAAAAGAAUCCCACCUAUUGAGAAGGGGAAAUCCACACAGCUGGAGGGUAAGGUGGAAGACAGAAAUUGACUAAAAAUGGCUGUGAGGUUCCAAGUCUGACAGAAUGGGAAUACCACUGUCAGCAAAAAGGAUCCCGGGCAAGGAGAUGUUGCUGAAAGAGACACACACAGUUUGAGGUGGGAUGGAAUUUAUGGUUUACCAUAUUUAUCCUUCUAGUCAUCCAGGAUAGCACUGUUCUCUAAAAUUCAAAAAUUCAAAUUUCCGUAAACCUCCCUGGGAAGACAGCUCCAUGAACAAGCUGAAAUACAUAUAAUUUAUGCUUAUAUGUGUAAGACAAACUUCAGUCUCUGCUAACUUGUAUAACUAUAUAGCAAUCAAUACAUUAGUUUUAGGAGAGAUGCUUGUUUGGACAGAAAAAUAAAAGUGUUUUUAAGCAUGAAUGGAUUAUAUAUGUGGCACACUGUGCUUGUUUGUGAUUUCUUUGCAUCUGCAAAACAUGCUGAGUUAAUUGCAGCCACACCUCUCCAUGAGGUUGCUUUGUGUAGUUCAAGGCUUCAUCCCCUCUGGGCUGGAUGCACCAAGUACUAAGUUGUUGGUUUGAAAACUCAGGAGUUCCGCAGGUGAAAUCCAAAACUGCCCCCAACCCUGCCAUUCAUGGAGAGCAAGGAAAGAUGGAAGAAAGAGGCAGAGCGCUCCAGAUUGGUAGGUGGUAGGUUUAAUAAGCAAAGGAACUUACAGACGAGGCUGGUCUUGGGCAACUGCAAGACCAGUAGAUCUCAGUACCCGCCUGCCAGAAUCUUAAAAGUUCAUAUGGAGGCCUUAACUGGGUUCAGUCACGUAUACUGUCCAGAUGUCUCAACAACACCUUAUUCUCUCAAGGCUGCAUCCCUGCAACAGCUUCCACCGUGGAAACAGUAAGCAGAACAUACAUUCUAAGGACAGAGAAGUGAGUGGGGAGCCUCUGAUUGCCCAGGUCCAGCUCUCGGGUCAACCAGCAGUCAAGACCUCUUAAUGACCCCCUCCAAUGUCCCCAGGUGAGGCUGCUGGUCUGCUGACAACACUUUGAGAACCGCGGCCUUAGAGAGAAGAACAUCUUCCAGAAACAGGUCUGGAUCUCAAGGGUUCUACCAAUAAACUUCUCGCACACAAAUUUCCGUGUUUCCAGAGAAUGCUUCUUGAAGAACUCAACCUAAGACAAAAGGAGUAUGGACUGACCACAUUUAUUAACUUUAUUUUACUUUUUUUGAGACAGUGCUUUAGAGUGGAAAUUGUGUAUGCUUUAUAGUCAGAGAGAUUGGAGCUUAUCAGGUAUCAUCUGGGAGAAAUUACUACUUAAUCUCUCCAAGCCUGUUUUGUCAUCUCUUAAGAGCGAUCUUGCUAGGAUGAAAGACAGUCCACAUAAAGCAACUACCACAGCAUUUGACAAAAUACAGAUGCUCAGAACAUGGAGGCCUCUAAGUGGGUAAAGCGGAAUCACUAGAAGGCUAAGGAUCUACAGCACUUCAUCGCUACUCCUCCCAGAUGUGUUUCUUUUCAUUAUGUUGUAAUACUAUGGCCUGAUUUGUAUUGAAGGUCCCUACUUUAAAAAAGCCACAUGGAUUCCAAGUUACUCAGUGCUCCAGCGGUGAGAGAUUUUCCUCCAAGUUUGAGAGUAGGGAAAAUUUUUCCAGCAUGAGACACUGGGAUAUACAAAUCUUCACCACAUACAACGACAGUUAUGUAACGUCACCUGACUCCUGCUUCUCAGUGGCUUCCAAGGCAGAGAGCCUGGCUCUGUGUUCAGUCACGGCAACGGAGUUGACCCACUCUUUUGACAGGUCUGCUGUCCUCCCCCAAUCCAAUUUUCUCCUUUUAUGAUCUGAUUUUAUUGUUAUGGCCUGGGCAUUUUAUUAUAAACUACUCUUUUAGAAAAUGUUAGGCUAAACAAGAAUCGAUCUCCAAGAUUCUGAACUCUUGAAUUCUCUCCCUGGCCAAAAUCUCCUGAUCUCUAAUCCUUCCCAUAAUUUCUCUCACCGUAAAUCUGAUCUUCAGUUUUAUGACCUUCAAAUUUCAAUCUCUCCUAAUAGUCCGUGUCCAUAACUCACCUUCAUGUUUCCUUUCUAAACUUUGCAGUUUGAACCCUAUCUUCAGCUGUCACACCAUGAGUUGACCACCAACACUAAACACCAGUUGCUGUAACCGAAAGUUCGGUCUCUGAACCCGAUGCCAAUCCAAAUAACGAGAAUAGAGUCUUGAGUGGAAGAGGAAAGGUUUUUACCAUGCCAGGCACAGGGAGCAAAGCAAGGGCUCAUGCCUCAAAAAUUGCUAGCUCCCUGAUGAGGAAUGGGUAGGGAUUUUUAUUUGGGAAGCCUCCACUCCUUGAUAUUCCUGAGACAGUGGCUUUCCUGGCAAACUUCAAGGACAUAUGAUUAGCUAAACUUUAGUGUGCCUCCAACUCCAGGCCACCUGGGC